rnacentral:lncRNA from 1 species
CUUUAAGUGUAAAAUCCAUUUUAGUAGCAGGAAGCUGUUAUAUGGUUAGAGCAGUUAUUUUUAUUGUCUGUCUGGGUAUAGUUUUUAACUGCAGGCACAGAAUAAAUCAAUAGUGUCAUAAAGCUACUCUCACCCUCUGCCCUUUCUGAAGGGACAUUGUUCAGUGUCUGUGCUGGAUGUGACACAGACUGUGCUUUGAUGCACAGAAUUAUGCCUCUACUAAUGUUCUGGGGGAGAGAUCUGUGUGACACAUAUUUACCUGUAUCUCUUUGUCCAUAUCAUCUCAGAGUCAUCAGAUUAAAAGCAAAAUAAAACAGAUAUACACACAAAAAUGCACAGAAGUUUUUAUCAGAAGAGAGGGGAUUUCUCUGGUUCUUCUCUUGCAAAUAAUAUUGUCAAUUAAUUUGUGCAGUCAUAAAUCUUCUCAGGUGGUGUAUUUCCAGGACUGUCUGAGAAAGCGUGCAGUGCUUCAUUGGACAGCCCACACAACUUAAACCUGACUGUAACCUGCUCUUUAAUGCAGCAAGGAAGGAUGGAGCAGGAUAUGACUGUAUGAAACUGGUGCUAGAUAAAAUUGCCCAGAAAGUGUGCCUUUUUAAUAGCAAGAGUAGUUAAUGGCUGGAACAUUUGGCUUAGGAAUGUGGUGGAUUGAGCUUUGCUUUCAGUCUCUAAAUCAAGAGUGAGUGUCUUUCUAAAGCUAUGCAAUAGCUUCAGCAGAAGUUAUGGCUUUGAUGCUGAAAUGAGUGGGUGAAGUUCUUCAGCUGUGUUACAUAGGAAGCAAAACCAGAUGACUGUGAUGGUCCUUUUCAGCCUUACUAAUCCAUUAAAUCCUGGUUUGGGGCCUUUCACACGCCAGGGUUUAAAGCAGCCUCUUAGGUUUUCCCGAUGGUUUCUGCAGGCAAUACAUGUUCCAGAGCUGGAUCUGACAAACUCAGUAUAAAUGGGUGUCUGGAAUUGACACACUUUAUAAUUUAUAUAUAAAUCACUGCCUCUAAAUGCAGUUCCAGAUCCAUUUCCCCAUGCAGCUGAGCUCACUUUGUCUGCUCUGUGCAGUGGGGAUUUUUCUUUGCAAAGCAGAUAUGCAUCUGAGCUGAAACCCACACCAAGUGCUGCUGGAGACCCCAAAAACUGCCACCCCUAUCAUGGACCACAGAGAAGCAAACCUUUAUGGAUCAAAUUCUUAAGAGAUUUAUCAGCAGCAAUUCCUGUUGUCAAGUUAAUUCAUCGCUCCUCUUCUUGCUUGCUCAUUGCAACUUCCCCAGGUUGGCACUUCUGACAGAGGCAUGAAAAUUGUACUUGUGCUGCAAGUGGGAGGUGGAGACAGCGAAAAUCUGUGCCCUGUCUGUGAGACUCCGUGCUGAGACAGCUCUAUUUUCACAUCUAGUCACAAGCCAAUCGGUAUUACCUCAGUAUUUGUUUUGAGGACGGCUCUCAAGAAAUGGAAUUGGAGUUUGGAUUUGGUAAGAUUGGAGGAAGUAAACCCCGAAAUAAUUCCAGUGGUUUCUGAAGGCAGCACCACUCACAUGCAGCUUGGUGACAGAGAGGCAGAGAGUCUACAGGAGUCUGUACCCUCCAUGGGGAGCGUGGUGGGCACUACUCACCUGGGUAACCAAAUGUUUGCUUCCUUCUCUCUGCAAAAUGCUUAGUGCUGGAUUUUUAUGCCUGUAAAUAUGGAUUUGGAUUUCCCUUCCUUCCUUCCCCAUGCUCCAUUGAAAGCAAAGACAUCUCACCCAGCACCAUUUGCUGACUCCUUCCCUUCUGCUCUUCCCCGUCCCCCAGUGCGUGAGCGCAGUCACGUGCAGGCCCUUGGUUUCCCCUCAGGACACUGGCACUUGGGAAGGAGAAUAACAGAUGUUGGGGAAAAAACAACACCCUGUCAGGUAGAAAAAACACUUUAGCAAAAAAAUUAAAAAAACCCCAACUAUAUGAACUUCCCAGCUUCUCAAACUUUCUCAUGAAUAGCCAGUGGCCACUAGAAUAGCAGCAACGGUAAUAAUAAAUUACAGUAAAUAUCAUCCUGUCAUAAGUGACAGCAAACCAAACCCACUGCUGUUCAGAUAUGAAUUGGAGAAAAUAUUUCUUAAUCUCUUUUUGUGUUAUUCAGUCAGCUGUAAUGAUUUAUAGUACUCCAAAGAAGUUGUGGUACAGAGUUUUUUCUUCAUCAUCCAUUUCAGCACUUUGCUAUUACCCACACAUGUCUGCUUUGGUGGGGACUCUGGCACUCCUGGAUGCUGCAAAAUGCUCAGCCCAGGAAUAAAUUAUUUCAUGUAAGGCACCUCUCAGCCUUUCUCUGGGACCCUCCUGCCUAUGGGGACAAAUCUGCUACAAGGAGAGGCAGUGCUGAGUUAAGGGCAGCCCCAUAACAGUGCCUUGAAAUAAGGUUGUUUUCCCAGAGCCAUCUGGUUUGAGCCUAUUCAGCUGUAAAUACCCACAGGCAGUGGACAUGGAGGGCUCUGGUGCUGCAGUGCAUCAGAUGGACACCCUGCAGAUGAGGCUGUGCCCCUGUGAGUCUGUGAGCACACUGGGGAUCAGUGGCAAAAUAAAAUGGUGGGGGAUAAAUUGAACUGGGAACAUGGUGUCAAUCGCUUCUGUCUUUGUCUACUUAUUUCCAAAGAUUUAUACGUGACAGUGUGAGGACUGCUCAGUGACACAUUUUAAUUUAAUUAAAUUUCCUGUUGGAUUGAUGUUUGAUCAAUCAAUAAUGUUAAUGUUUUUGCAAUUUAGAGAUUAAAGCUUGGAUGAGCGGAUAUUGAAAUACUCUUGCAUCCAGCUGCCUGGGAAUAUCUCUUUCUGCUUCCAUUCCUCAAAAAACUCAUUUUGGGUGAGAAUGCAUCCUGAGGCUUGCCAUGAACCUACAUCAAAGCUGAAAGCUUCACCCCAUUCUAGCAGAGGGUGAGGGAGUCAUUCAGGAGCAGCGUCACUUCUUGGAGACACAGACUUGCAGGCAGCUGAAACCUGUCCUUGUGCAAAAUCUGUGUGGCUCUGUAUAUUUUCCCUCAGAUGUUCAACAUGGGAGAAAAAAGAACGGGGCAUUGCAGGUGUGAUAGUUCCCUGUGCUACCUGCUCCUUGAUCAGGAAGUCAUCAGUGCUGAGGUUACACUGGGGGAUUUGAACCUGAUCAACACCAGGGCAUCAGUUGGCAUCUAUUCUCCAUGUGUCCUUGUCCCCUCUGGAUGCCACUCAUUCCUCUGGCCACCCCAGCCUCCUGCAGCAAUGAGCUCCCCUGCUCAGCUGAUGAUCCUGGUCUGGAGCUGAAUGUAAUACUGAUUGAAGCUUCUUGUCUGCCCAAAUUUCUCACAGAUGAGCUAAUUGUGCUCCACCCUCUUCAGGCUGUGAAGAUAAAGAGAUGCUGUAGCAUGUCCACAGAACCUUUUUUUUUUUCCUUCUCUUAUGCCUUGUUUCAUUUAGUGCCUCAAAUACUUUAGUAGUGAGGUCAGGAGAGGCAUUAACUUAUUCAGGGGAGUUAUUCUGCACUGACUUUUCCGUGAGUCUUAGACAGUCGUUCAAAAACUUAUGACUCAAGAAGAAAACUUAAUCCACAUUUUCAAGCUUGUAAAAAUGUGAACUCUAAUUGAAUCUGAACCUCAGGUAUGGCUGUAGUCAUGAUAAGUCAAAGUAAUUAGUCAGAUCUUAACACUCUCAAACUUGGACAGUGAGAAAUCCCACCUGGCUGAGGUCUGAAUGCUCCAGUGUCCAUCUCUGGUCUCCAGGUCCAGCUCCAGAGCUGGCUCUGUGUUAUUUAUUUGGGGUGCUUGUUGUAUUCAGGGAAGCCUAAAAAGGCCAAUUUCUUUUCCAACUGUAUUUUAUAUUCUGUAAAAUCUGUAUUUUCUGUCCCUUAAGGAUAUUCUGGGGGCUGUUUGCUGUGUACCUGUCCCUCAGACAACCCCAAAGGAACAUACAGAGGGAGGAAGACAGAGAGAGAGAGAGGAGGAAGGGAAAGAGAGCAGCUCAUUUUCCACUUUAGCCCAGACACCUGAGGGGUAGAAGUCAGCAGUUUUUUUGACAGUACAAGAACUUGGUAACUUAAAACAGGAAGCAAAAGGAAAACCACGACCAAAUAACUUUGCCUUGACCUCCUCCUAAGAGAGUCAAUGACUUUAAAGUAAACUGGAACUUCUUGCUGGAAUUUAUUUGGAUGUCAGCUGCUCCUUACCUCAUUAGCACAGCAAUAUUCAGAAAUGUGCCAAAAGAUUUAGGCAGGCUGGAGGAUGCAAUGAAGCUAAUUUUUUUUUUCCCCAAGGGAAGGCUUCACAUAUUUGUGUCUCACUAUCAAAAUACUCUUCAGUGCAAGAGUUUCUUCCACUGAAAUCUACUGUGUGCAGUGGGUUUUGUUUUGCCCUCUGCUGUUAACUCCACCAGACCCCACCACUCCAGGUGAAAGGGCAGAGUGCCAGGGUACCCACCCGUGCUUGGGGUGGGGAUGGUUGAAGGGUAAGAGAAUGUCAGUGUCUCUCUGUGAGUGCAGGGGUGUGGGGAAGGCAAAGGAAAAUGGGGAAUUUGUUCCUUGGAAGGGAGGGAAAUAAUCUACUGCUAAAUUGGUGAUUUUUGUAGUAAACAACAUUUUUAGCUCAGUCCCUGGUAUAACAUGAGUUUCAAGGCUGGCUUUCAUAGGUGGGACUGCUGUAAGCUGGUUCAGCCUGAUUCCUUUCCUUUCCUUUCCUUUCCUUUCCUUUCCUUUCCUUUCCUUUCC